rfam:Brachypodium distachyon strain Bd21 chromosome 1, whole genome shotgun sequence.
AUAAUACUCCCUCCGACCCAUAUUACUUGUCUCAAAUUUGCCCAAAUAUGGAUGUAUCUAUGUUUAAAAAGCGUCUAGAUACAUGUAAUAUUUUGACAAGCAAUAUGGGUUUGAGGGAGUAAAUU